CCACUAAAUUUCGGUCUUCUAAAAAUAAAAUGUUAUUUUAAUCAUUUUUAUUUUAGGCGAGAAAAUUUAAUCUUAUUUCAUCUGUUACUUAUCCCUGCCCAAGAUUUUGUGCGAGGUCGAUUUGGAUUUUUAUUCUGAAAUUCUGUGUUCUGUGCAUGUGCUGUUCGACUUUAAUCAUAUGAAGGGCGCCAUCAAGCGAGCCGAUGCAGUAACCGCGGGAAGCUGAAGUGAAGUCGCGGUGCUGGUUACGGAUGAACAAUCACGGACGACCCAUAAGCAAUGUACAUGACGUACCGAAGGUUGGGAGACUUGAACAAAGAGUUUCUGCAUCCAUGCUGUCUAACUUCACACCAGUGCACUGAAUAUAAUGAUAAUAUGGGUCCAUGCAUUAACCCGCUGUGGGCAGAUCAGUCUCUCCACCAGCCCAUUUUGUCAGGAUUGUGCCUUUUUGAGAGGAAAAUAAACCAGAACUCAAGUCUGCCAGUGCUUUAUCCGAGCACACAA